rnacentral:lncRNA from 1 species
GGUUCCGCAGUUAACUAAGAAGACGAUCGAUUGGCUUGGAGAGGAAAGGAAACCCGGGACUGAAAACUAAAAGGAUAGGAAUGAAUUGAAUAAAGAAAGAAUAUAUAGAACCUUGAGCAUUUUCUCCUCUCGGCAAUGCAAUGGUUGAGAGUAAAAAAGGGGUAUCCGCAUAGAAGGAUUGCUGGUAUACCGGGUAGAUGUUUAUCUUUUUGACUUCAGCGAAAAUGUUC